rnacentral:rRNA from 1 species
GAUGAACGCUGGCGGCGUGCCUAAUACAUGCAAGUCGAGCGAAUGGAUUGAGAGCUCGCUCUUAUGAAGUUAGCGGCGGACGGGUGAGUAACACGUGGGUAACCUGCCCAUAAGACUGGGAUAACUCCGGGAAACCGGGGCUAAUACCGGAUAACAUUUUGAACCGCAUGGUUCGAAAUUGAAAGGCGGCUUCGGCUGUCACUUAUGGAUGGACCCGCGUCGCAUUAGCUAGUUGGUGAGGUAACGGCUCACCAAGGCAACGAUGCGUAGCCGACCUGAGAGGGUGAUCGGCCACACUGGGACUGAGACACGGCCCAGACUCCUACGGGAGGCAGCAGUAGGGAAUCUUCCGCAAUGGACGAAAGUCUGACGGAGCAACGCCGCGUGAGUGAUGAAGGCUUUCGGGUCGUAAAACUCUGUUGUUAGGGAAGAACAAGUGCUAGUUGAAUAAGUUGGCACCUUGACGGUACCUAACCAGAAAGCCACGGCUAACUACGUGCCAGCCGCCGCAGUAA